rnacentral:piRNA from 1 species
GGAUAGGAACCUGGAGGCAGAAACUGA